AGAGUUUGAUCAUGGCUCAGAACGAACGCUGGCGGCAGGCUUAACACAUGCAAGUCGAACGAUAUAGUGGCAGACGGGUGAGUAACGCGUGGAAACGUGCCUUUCACUACGGAAUAGCUUUUGGAAACGAAAGGUAAUACCGUAUACGCCCUCCGGGGGAAAGAUUUAUCGGUGAAAGAUCGGUCCGCGUUAGAUUAGCUAGUUGGUGAGGUAAGAGCUCACCAAGGCGACGAUCUAUAGCUGGUCUGAGAGGAUGAUCAGCCACACUGGGACUGAGACACGGCCCAGACUCCUACGGGAGGCAGCAGUGGGGAAUAUUGCACAAUGGGCGCAAGCCUGAUGCAGCCAUGCCGCGUGAAUGAUGAAGGCCUUAGGGUUGUAAAAUUCUUUCGCCAAGGAUGAUAAUGACAGUACUUGGUAAAGAAGCCCCGGCUAACUUCGUGCCAGCAGCCGCGGUAAUACGAAGGGGGCUAGCGUUGUUCGGAAUUACUGGGCGUAAAGCGCACGUAGGCGGAUUUUUAAGUCAGAUGUGAAAUCCCAAGGCUCAACCUUGGAACUGCAUUUGAAGCUGGGAAUCUAGAGAUCAGGAGAGGUUAGUGGAAUACCGAGUGUAGAGGUGAAAUUCGUAGAUAUUCGGUGGAACACCAGUGGCGAAGGCGACUAACUGGACUGAUACUGACGCUGAGGUGCGAAAGUGUGGGGAGCAAACAGGAUUAGAUACCCUGGUAGUCCACACCGUAAACGAUGAGAGCUAGUUGUCUGCAGGCAUGCCUGUAGGUGACGCAGCUAACGCAUUAAGCUCUCCGCCUGGGGAGUACGGCCGCAAGGUUAAAACUCAAAGAAAUUGACGGGGGCCCGCACAAGCGGUGGAGCAUGUGGUUUAAUUCGAAGCAACGCGCAGAACCUUACCUACGCUUGACAUGCCUGGACGACUCCGAGAGAUCGGUUUCUCCCUUCGGGGCCAGUGCACAGGUGCUGCAUGGCUGUCGUCAGCUCGUGUCGUGAGAUGUUGGGUUAAGUCCCGCAACGAGCGCAACCCUCAUCCUUAGUUGCCAUCACGUUUGGGUGGGCACUCUAGGGAAACUGCCGGUGCUAAGCCGGAGGAAGGCGGGGAUGACGUCAAGUCCUCAUGGCCCUUACGCGUAGGGCUACACACGUGCUACAAUGGCAGUGACAAUGGGAUAAUCCCCAAAAGCUGUCUCAGUUCGGAUUGUCGGCUGCGACUCGCCGGCAUGAAGUUGGAAUCGCUAGUAAUCGUGGAUCAGCAUGCCACGGUGAAUACGUUCCCGGGCCUUGUACACACCGCCCGUCACACCAUGGGAGUUGGAUCUACCCGAAGAUUGUGAGCUAACUUCGGAGGCAGCAAGCCACGGUAGGUUCAGCGACUGGGGUGAAGUCGUAACAAGGUAACCGUA
rnacentral:rRNA from 1 species